UGAGGAAUAUUGGUCAAUGGGCGCGAGCCUGAACCAGCCAAGUAGCGUGAAGGAUGAAGGUCCUACGGAUUGUAAACUUCUUUUAUAAGGGAAUAAAGUCACCCACGUGUGGGUGUUUGUAUGUACCUUAUGAAUAAGCAUCGGCUAACUCCGUGCCAGUAGCCGCGGUAAUACGGAGGAUGCGAGCGUUAUCCGGAUUUAUUGGGUUUAAAGGGAGCGUAGACGGGCCGUUAAGUCAGCUGUGAAAGUUUGAGGCUCAACCUUAAAAUUGCAGUUGAUACUGGCGUCCUUGAGUACGGUUGAGGCAGGCGGAAUUCGUGGUGUAGCGGUGAAAUGCUUAGAUAUCACGAAGAACCCCGAUUGCGAAGGCAGCCUGCUAAACCGCCACUGACGUUGAGGCUCGAAAGUGUGGGUAUCAAACAGGAUUAGAUACCCUGGUAGUCCACACGGUAAACGAUGGAUACUCGCUGUUGGCGAUAGACUGUCAGCGGCUUAGCGAAAGCGUUAAGUAUCCCACCUGGGGAGUACGCCGGCAACGGUGAAACUCAAAGGAAUUGACGGGGGCCCGCACAAGCGGAGGAACAUGUGGUUUAAUUCGAUGAUACGCGAGGAACCUUACCCGGGCUUAAAUUGCAGAUGAAUUACGGUGAAAGCCGUAAGCCGCAAGGCAUCUGUGAAGGUGCUGCAUGGUUGUCGUCAGCUCGUGCCGUGAGGUGUCGGCUUAAGUGCCAUAACGAGCGCAACCCUUGUUGUCAGUUACUAACAGGUUUUGCUGAGGACUCUGACAAGACUGCCAUCGUAAGAUGUGAGGAAGGUGGGGAUGACGUCAAAUCAGCACGGCCCUUACGUCCGGGGCUACACACGUGUUACAAUGGGGGGUACAGCAGGCAGCUACCGGGCGACCGGAUGCCAAUCCCGAAAGCCUCUCUCAGUUCGGACUGGAGUCUGCAACCCGACUCCACGAAGCUGGAUUCGCUAGUAAUCGCGCAUCAGCCACGGCGCGGUGAAUACGUUCCC
rnacentral:rRNA from 1 species